GAGGACAGUAGUUUCGUCUGAAUUGUUCCUGUUUUUUCCUAUCGCUAGUAAAAGAAUUCAAGUGUAUUAUAAAUGAAUAAUGAUUUUGUGGUGCCUGAUAUCGUCUCGGCUGAUGUAUACAUAUAAAAUAUGCCGCCGUCGACCUACACCGAGUAUGGCCUUGGGAUUUAGAUGACUGUCGACUAAGGAUGAAGAUCAAAGAAAUGUUCAUCAGAGAUGAAUAUGAUGCUUCGACUUUGAUUUUUGAUCAUCUAUAAAGAUCAAAGAAACGUACAUCGGAAAUGAAUAUGAUGCUUCGAGUUUGAUUUUUGAUCAUCUAUAAAGAUCAAAGAAACGUACAUCGGAAAUGAAUAUGAUGCUUCGAGUUUGAUUUUUGAUCAUCUAUAAAGAUCAAAGAAACGUACAUCGGAAAUGAAUAUGAUGCUUCGAGUUUGAUUUUUGAUCAUCUAUAAAGAUCAAAGAAAUGUACAUCGGAAAUGAAUAUGAUUCUUCGACUUCGAUUUUUGAUCAUCUAUAAAGAUCAAAAGUACAUACAUUAAGUAUUUGCGCAGUACUUGGAUUUAGACUACUGAUCAUUUAUGCUUCAAAUAGCAGUUAUUGAACUUCAGUCAUUUUUGUGCAGCAGAAUAUAAAGGUUAACGCAGACAGACGCAUUUUGCCGGAAAACAAAUCUGACAUGCCACCUCGAGAUUUUAACCAAGGAAAGACAACUUGAUGUGCUUUGAUUUGAGGGGUCACUCAAUGCUGAACGAAAAUUAGGGACAUUGCUAUGUGAAUAAGCAUUAACAUUGCCACCUAUGGGAAAACAAUUAGUGGGCUGUACCCAAUAUGUGAAGCCUAUUGGUUCAUGGUGAUACAGGACAACUUCGAGGUUCAUGCAGAUGGUGUUUAAAACUAUCAGUCAGGAAAAACAAACUCAUUUGAACACAUCUUGAGUCUUCACAUGUAAAAUGAUGGCAGUACUUUUAAUAUAGGUUAACGCAGACAGACGCAUUUUGCCGCAAAACGAAUCUGACAUGCCACCUCGAGAUUUUAACCAAGGAAAGACAACUUGAUGUGCUUUGAUUUGAGGGGUCACUCAAUGCUGAACAAAAAUUAGGGACAUUGCUAUGUGAAUAAACAUUAACAUUGCCACCUAUGGGAAAACAAUUAGUGGGCUGUACCCAAAUAUACUAGUUGUUGGUAUUUUUGAUUUUUAUGUCAACUCUUGCAUAAAGGGUUCAUUUUAUUUGUCCAGAAAGCUCCUACAUAUCUAAACCUAAGGACUUUUUUCCUGAAUGUUUUUACAUCAUUGAUAUUCAUGGCACCUUGGUUUGGUUUUUGGUCAUUUAUGAAAAAGAUACAAACUGUUAACAUGUCAAUUUGAUGCAAAAUAUUACUUUAAGGGUACAACAGUUCUGUAGACAAUACCUUCUUCAGUUUUCUGCUAAAAGAAAUCCCAUGAAAGGGAUAAUGGGUUUCUAAUUGAUCAAGUCUAAUUUACAUACAGCAGAGAUGCCAAUAUGCUUGGAGUUUGAUUUUUGGUCAUUGAUAAGAAAAUACCAUGUGAUAAAUUUAGCCAUUUACUGUGUUAUAUUGCUUACAAGUGUACAUGAUUUUUCUAGACAACUCCUUCAACAGUUUUAAAGAUAUCAUUUAUUUUUAUUUUGCAGAUCAAAGAAACGUACAUCGGAAAUGAAUAUGAUGCUUCGAGUUUGAUUUUUGAUCAUCUAUAAAGAUUCAGUAUAUGAUAUACAUCAGAGAGAAGCAUGAUGCUUGAUUUUGACUGUCUAUUUGAAAGUUUGAUUUCGGCUUGGAUUACCAAAGAACCUGACCAAAAAAUGGGGACAUUUCAUGCGACCAGGAUAAGAUGCUGCUUGCAAUCGGCAUUGCUGUUCAUUCACAGACAAGAGCAUCAGGAGUUCAAGCUAAAACAAUCCGUAAUUGCCUCUAAAUACCGCAUGGGGAAGAACUAGUCACCAAAUUGUUGUUAUUUUUCGUAAAGCUGUGAAUAUUGACUUGAUUACUCAUUAUACAAUACAAAAUAAAGUUCUUAUUGUUCAGAAAAAAAUUAUCUUA